UACGUAGGGUGCGAGCGUUAAUCGGAAUUACUGGGCGUAAAGCGUGCGCAGGCGGGCUUUUAAGCCAGACGUGAAAUCCCCGGGCUUAACCUGGGAAUGGCGUUUGGGACUGGAAGUCUGGAGUGCGGCAGAGGAGACUGGAAUUCCUGGUGUAGCAGUGAAAUGCGUAGAUAUCAGGAGGAACACCGAUGGCGAAGGCAGGUCUCUGGGCUGACACUGACGCUCAUGCACGAAGGCCAGGGGAGCAAACGGG
rnacentral:rRNA from 1 species